UACGUAGGGGGCAAGCGUUGUCCGGAAUCAUUGGGCGUAAAGAGCGUGUAGGCGGCUCGAUAAGUCUGCUGUGAAAGUCCAGGGCUCAACCCUGGAAGGCCGGUGGAAACUGUCGGGCUAGAGUCCGGAAGAGGCGAGUGGAAUUCCCGGUGUAGCGGUGAAAUGCGCAGAUAUCGGGAGGACACCAAUGGCGAAGGCAGCUCGCUGGGACGGUACUGACGCUGAGACGCGAAAGCGUGGGGAGCAAACAGG
rnacentral:rRNA from 1 species